GCUAGUGUGGUAUAGUGGUUUAAGCAUUGAACUACAACUCUGGAGACCAGGGUUCAAAUCCCUGCACAGACA
rnacentral:tRNA from 1 species